GAUGAACGCUGGCGGUGUGCCUAAUACAUGCAAGUCGUACGCAUUCUCGUUUCUGAUUGACGGUGCUUGCACCUAAUUGACGAGACAUUGGAAUGAGUGGCGGACGGGUGAGUAACACGUGGGUAACCUGCCCAGAAGCGGGGGAUAACAUUUGGAAACAGAUGCUAAUACCGCAUAAAAGUCAAAACCACAUGGUUUUGAUUUAAAAGAUGGCCUUUGUGCUAUCACUUCUGGAUGGACCCGCGGCGUAUUAGCUAGUUGGUAAGGUAAUGGCUUACCAAGGCAAUGAUACGUAGCCGAACUGAGAGGUUGAUCGGCCACAAUGGGACUGAGACACGGCCCAUACUCCUACGGGAGGCAGCAGUAGGGAAUCUUCCACAAUGGGCGCAAGCCUGAUGGAGCAACACCGCGUGAGUGAAGAAGGGUUUCGGCUCGUAAAACUCUGUUGUUAAAGAAGAACGUAUCUAAGAGUAACUGCUUAGGUAGUGACGGUAUUUAACCAGAAAGCCACGGCUAACUACGUGCCAGCCGCCGCAGUAA
rnacentral:rRNA from 1 species